rnacentral:rRNA from 1 species
AACGAACGCUGGCGGCAGGCUUAACACAUGCAAGUCGAACGGGUGCAGCAAUGCAUCAGUGGCAGACGGGUGAGUAACACGUGGGAACCUUCCUAGGGGUACGGAACAACUCAGGGAAACUUGAGCUAAUACCGUAUACGUCCGUGAGGAGAAAGAUUUAUCGCCCUUAGACGGGCCCGCGUCGGAUUAGCUAGUUGGUGGGGUAACGGCCUACCAAGGCGACGAUCCGUAGCUGAUCUUAGAGGAUGAUCAGCCACACUGGGACUGAGACACGGCCCAGACUCCUACGGGAGGCAGCAGUGGGGAAUCUUGGACAAUGGGCGCAAGCCUGAUCCAGCCAUGCCGCGUGAGUGAAGAAGGUCUUCGGAUUGUAAAGCUCUUUUGCCAGGGACGAUAAUGACGGUACCUGGAGAAUAAGCCCCGGCAAACUUCGUGCCAGCCGCCGCCGUAA